GGGGACGUUACGGAUUCGACAGGGGUGGUCUGAGCUUGAGCUGCGCGUCGGAGGGCUCGACUCCGUCAGAAACGGCAGUUAAUAAUAACUGGCAAAACAAACAACAACUUAGCAUUCGCAGCGUAAGCUGAUGAAUCUGCCUAGCAGUUCCAUCGCCCAUGUGGCAUUGUUAGGCUCACCUAUUAGUGGGAUACGGUAACGGUCGCCUCCUGAGGCCGUUGCAAGAGACUUCCAGGAUAGCGCUCAAGACGCCUUGAUUGACGGCAUAAUGCAGCGCGAACCGUAAGUAGUCAAUCUACACGCGUAGACGCUUAAGUAUUGGAGCCUUUGGACGUGGGUUCGACUCCCACCGUCUCCAUAG
rnacentral:tmRNA from 1 species